rnacentral:lncRNA from 13 species
AUCUUAUUCCAGAACAGCUGACGCUUACAAGAGUCAGCAAUGGCAGGACAAAUUGAAGUCUAAGCCAAACCAUGGUCAAUAAAUUAUCCAUAAGAGCAUGUAUUAAAAAAGAACACAGAAUGUGAUCAACUAUUUCUCCUCUCUCAUGGUUCACCACAGCUGUGCAAACCAAAGGGCUUGUUCAAGCUGAACGCCUGCAGUCAGGUGGCCUAUUAAUUACAGUUGAGCUCAGUGAAGGUAAGGGAGGAAGUGGAGUUGGAUUUAAUAGGGGCCUGAGUACUUUAGCUACCACCUGCAUCUGAGAAAGGCAUGCUUUGCAUAAUUGGCUGCAGCUGGGUUAUGUCAUAUUGUGGUCCUGAUAUGGCCUAAUCGCUAAUACAUCUGUAGCCUCCAUUAUUAUUAGUUAUGAAGGCUAGUCCAUAUUUGUACCUGUUGCCUACAUAUGGACUAAAAUCAGGCAAAUUGUGAUGCAGGUAGUUGUCUAUGAAACCAUAACACAAAGAAGGACUUUGGUCUGUGAGAUACCGUAUCCACACUGCUACACUACAAGCGGAGACUGUAGACUAUAUAGGCAUCCUGGACCGGUUCUCUGGACCUGUUCUCUCCCUACAAGAUAAACAAGAUGACAAUAUGAGUCAAUAUCCUGUUUGUGAGUUUAACAGUUACUCUACAGAAUCAGAGACAGGAUGGACUUGUAUUGCAAGGCCAGAUCAUUUGCAACAGGUUUUGUUUGACACAUCUGCUUGCAUGUGUACUGUAGCCUACAUGUUUUAAUGUUCUAUGUUGAUGUGUCUUGAACAAUUCGUCACCACACAAAGUUCCCUUACAGGAAAUAAAAAUAAUUUGAAUUUCAAAAGGAGCUACAUUGAGGGCUCCUUUCAAGCAAGCGUGUGUGUAGAGGGUGACAUCACUUGCGCCCAUUCAAAUGGCUCUGAUUGGGUAGACUACUGUCUACACUACAGCAAACAAGCGUCGACCAGUCGUCACUGACGCUUAGAUUUAAACCACAUAGUCUAAGAUUUCCACAACUAAUUAGAUAUAACCCCUUGGUGUUUGAAUAAUAUGACUUAAAUACGCAAAUGGCAUUAGUAUUAAUGUCUACCCUUAUUUUAACCAAAAAACGUAUUGUAAAAAAGUAGCAUACUGUACCUACAUUGUUCACAGUUUUUUGAUCCUUUGUCAACAAAUGCGAGCUUCAAAUAAUUUUCAGAAACAAAUAUAUUGUAGGAAUGUCACUCAUUGAAAAGUAUAGAGGCUAAAAUGUGAUAAAUAAAAUAAAUCUGAUCAUUUUUAUACAGUUAUAUGCCUGUAGGCUGUGAUAAAGUAUAAGGUAUACAAUCAUGGUUAUUGGCGGGAUUUAGAAACUAGACUAAUAACCUCCUUAUACAGCCUGCCCUACUUCAUACAUCUGAGGUACUUACAUUAGGGCCUAGAUUCAUUAUAAACAACUUAUGCGUUUGACAACUGUCAAUAAAAUAUAGACGACAAACUCUAGAGAUGAGAGAGACUGUCAACUCACGCAAUCUUUGUCUUUACGAAUAACCUUCCGCAACGUACCGCUGCACAGGUGGGCCAGUCGUCUUACUUUAUUCAGCCGAAGUAACUGUCAUGUCCUCCACAAGGUUGAAUUGGUACCAGCCACAGCUUCACAUGGUGUAAAGUAGCUAUAGCGAAAUAUCCAUGGGGGAAAAAAAUUAGAAUUGCGAAAAAUGACCAAAUUUGAAGCAAAGAGACAUGCGGCGAGACAAGAAGCACUGGCCGCUUGUCAUCUUGUUGCGCAGGGAAUCCGUGAGGUUGGUUGAGAAUACGCCACCGCUGUGUCAUUCACGGUUUAGUAAUGCUUUGAUCAACGGAUUUAAAAUAACCUAAUCGUGUGAUUACGCUCGCUUGUACUAAUCGUAAUGAUACAACCGAAUGCAAUUUAAAUCUAUCUAUUUUGUUAUAGUCCAAGGCAGAACGUAACUGCACCUUUUCACCUUACUGAGUGGUGUAAGCAAAUCACAUUAGGCCUACCACAGUAGCCUUUUCAAGUAAGAUGUUUAUAAUUGUUAUAUGAAGUUGAUUCAGACUUUAUAUGGUAAUACAACUGAUAAACCCAUGUCUGAGUUGAAUAAAUUAUACAUCAAUAAAAUGCCAAAUCAUUUUCCUGAG